rnacentral:rRNA from 1 species
AGAGUUUGAUCAUGGCUCAGGACGAACGCUGGCGGCGUGCUUAACACAUGCAAGUCGAACGGAAAGGCCCUUCGGGGUACUCGAGUGGCGAACGGGUGAAUAACACGUGGGUGAUCUGCCCUGCACUCUGGGAUAAGCCUGGGAAACUGGGUCUAAUACCGGAUAGGACCGCAUGCUUCAUGGUGUGUGGUGCAAAGCUUUUGCGGUGUGGGAUGAGCCCGCGGCCUAUCAGCUUGUUGGUGGGGUAAUGGCCUACCAAGGCGACGACGGGUAGCCGGCCUGAGAGGGUGACCGGCCACACUGGGACUGAGAUACGGCCCAGACUCCUACGGGAGGCAGCAGUGGGGAAUAUUGCACAAUGGGCGCAAGCCUGAUGCAGCGACGCCGCGUGAGGGAUGACGGCCUUCGGGUUGUAAACCUCUUUCAGUAGGGACGAAGCGAAAGUGACGGUACCUACAGAAGAAGGACCGGCCAACUACGUGCCAGCAGCCGCGGUAAUACGUAGGGUCCGAGCGUUGUCCGGAAUUACUGGGCGUAAGGAGCUCGUAGGUGGUUUGUCGCGUUGUUCGUGAAAACUCACAGCUUAACUGUGGGCGUGCGGGCGAUACGGGCAGACUAGAGUACUGCAGGGGAGACUGGAAUUCCUGGUGUAGCGGUGGAAUGCGCAGAUAUCAGGAGGAACACCGGUGGCGAAGGCGGGUCUCUGGGCAGUAACUGACGCUGAGGAGCGAAAGCGUGGGUAGCGAACAGGAUUAGAUACCCUGGUAGUCCAA